GCCUGGCUGGCUCAGUGGGUAGAGCAUGUGACUCUUGAUCUUGGGAUUGUGAGUUCAAGUCACAUGCUAGAUA
rnacentral:tRNA from 1 species